AUGAUCCUGUGGCUGAAUUUGGUUUCCUUACUAGCAGUCCUCAGAGGUGUCCUGUCAGAGGCCCAGUUGGUGGAGUCCGGAGGGGACGUGAGAAGGCCUGGAGAGUCCCUCCGUCUCUCCUGCCAAGGCUCUGGGUUCAACUUCGGGAGCUACAAUAUGUACUGGGUGAGACAGGCCCCUGGAAAAGGGCUGGAAUGGGUGGCAUACAUAAAUCCAGGUUCCAGUACUAUUUACUACUCGGACAAAGUGAAGGGACGGUUCACCAUCUCCAGGGACAACUCCAAAAGCCAACUCUACCUGCAAAUGAACAGCCUGAAGAUGGAGGACACAGCAGUCUAUUACUGUGCAGGAGACACAGUGAGAGGAAGU